AUGCAGUCGAACGAACUUCGGGUUAGUGGCGGACGGGUGAGUACGCGUGAGAUCUGCCCUCAGGAGGGGGACAACAGCCGGAAACGGCUGCUAAUACCCCAUAUGCCGCGAGGUGAAAUGAAUUUCGCCUGAGGAUGAGCUCGCGUCUGAUUAGCUAGUUGGUGUAGGUAAUGGCUCACCAAGGCAUCGAUCAGUAGCUGGUCUGAGAGGAUGAUCAGCCACACUGGAACUGAGACACGGUCCAGACUCCUACGGGAGGCAGCAGUGGGGAAUUUUGGACAAUGGGGGAAACCCUGAUCCAGCGAUGCUGCGUGCGGGAAGAAGGCCUUAGGGUUGUAAACCGCUUUCAGCUAGGAAGAAAAGGUUAUAGUUAAUAUCUAUAAUUUAUGACGGUACCUGAAGAAUAAGCACCGGCUAACUACGUGCCAGCAGCCGCGGUAAUACGUAGGGUGCAAGCGUUAAUCGGAAUUACUGGGCGUAAAGCGUGCGCAGGCGGUUUACUAAGACAGGUGUGAAAUCCCCGGGCUUAACCUGGGAACUGCAUCUGUGACUAGUAGACUAGAGUCUGGCAGAGGGGGGUGGAAUCCCGGUGUAGCGGUGAAAUGCGUAGAUAUCGGGAAGAACACAGUGGCGAAAGGCUCUGCUGGGCCUCACUGACGCUCAUGGACGAACGCCAGGGAGCGAACGGGAUUAAUCCCCUGUAGUCUGCCCGUAACAUGA
rnacentral:rRNA from 1 species